UGCANGUCGAACGGUAGCAGGAAGUGCUUGCACUUUGCUGACGAGUGGCGGACGGGUGAGUAAUGCUUGGGAACUUGCCUUUGCGAGGGGGAUAACAGUUGGAAACGACUGCUAAUACCGCAUAAUGUCUACGGACCAAACGGGGCUUAGGCUUCGGCGCAGAGAGAGGCCCAAGUGAGAUUAGCUAGUUGGUGGGGUAAAGGCUCACCAAGGCGACGAUCUCUAGCUGUUCUGAGAGGAAGAUCAGCCACACUGGGACUGAGACACGGCCCAGACUCCUACGGGAGGCAGCAGUGGGGAAUAUUGCACAAUGGGGGGAACCCUGAUGCAGCCAUGCCGCGUGUGUGAAGAAGGCCUUCGGGUUGUAAAGCACUUUCAGUUGUGAGGAAAAGUGAGUAGUUAAUACCUGCUCACCGUGACGUUAACAACAGAAGAAGCACCGGCUAACUCCGUGCCAGCAGCCGCGGUAAUACGGAGGGUGCGAGCGUUAAUCGGAAUUACUGGGCGUAAAGCGCACGCAGGCGGUUUGUUAAGCUAGAUGUGAAAGCCCCGAGCUCAACUUGGGAUGGUCAUUUAGAACUGGCAGACUAGAGUCUUGGAGAGGGGAGUGGAAUUCCAGGUGUAGCGGUGAAAUGCGUAGAUAUCUGGAGGAACAUCAGUGGCGAAGGCGACUCCCUGGCCAAAGACUGACGCUCAUGUGCGAAAGUGUGGGUAGCGAACAGGAUUAGAUACCCUGGUAGUCCACACCGUAAACGCUGUCUACUAGCUGUUUGUGGCUUUAAGCCGUGAGUAGCGAAGCUAACGCGAUAAGUAGACCGCCUGGGGAGUACGGCCGCAAGGUUAAAACUCAAAUGAAUUGACGGGGGCCCGCACAAGCGGUGGAGCAUGUGGUUUAAUUCGAUGCAACGCGAAGAACCUUACCUACACUUGACAUGCAGAGAACUUUCCAGAGAUGGAUUGGUGCCUUCGGGAACUCUGA
rnacentral:rRNA from 1 species